rnacentral:rRNA from 1 species
GACGAACGCUGGCGGCGUGCUUAACACAUGCAAGUCGAACGGAAAGGCCCUGCUUUUGUGGGGUGCUCGAGUGGCGAACGGGUGAGUAACACGUGAGUAACCUGCCCUUGACUUUGGGAUAACUUCAGGAAACUGGGGCUAAUACCGGAUAGGAGCUCCUGCUGCAUGGUGGGGGUUGGAAAGUUUCGGCGGUUGGGGAUGGACUCGCGGCUUAUCAGCUUGUUGGUGGGGUAGGGGCUGACCAAGGCUUUGACGGGUAGCCGGCCUGGGAGGGUGACCGGCCACAUUGGGCCUGAGAUACGGCCCAGACUCCUACGGGAGGCAGCAGUGGGGAAUAUUGCACAAUGGGCGGAAGCCUGAUGCAGCGACGCCGCGUGCGGGAUGACGGCCUUCGGGUUGUAAACCGCUUUCGCCUGUGACGAAGCGUGAGUGACGGUAAUGGGUAAAGAAGCACCGGCUAACUACGUG